rnacentral:tRNA from 1 species
GAGGGUAUACCUCAAGUGGUAGAGCGCAUGCUUAGCAUGCAGAGGUCCUGGGUUCAAUCCCCAGUACCUCUU